rnacentral:lncRNA from 1 species
UGUGAUUCAGGAAUUAGGUCUAACACGUAGGGGGGGUUGUGAAAAGGUUUUGGAAAAAUUAAAGAACUCAAUAAAGACACAGAUGCAAACAAACUAAUUUAAGCUAGCAUGGUAAUUAAACUAACACUAUUAAAAACCUUAGACAACAUUCAAACAUCAAACACUGUUACAAACAAAUUAACAAACACAGUUAAAAUUAUUAAAAGACAACACUAAAUAAAAGAGAUUAAAAAAAACAAUUAAACGUGUAAUGUAAAACAUUCUUAAGACAAAAGAAAAAUAAAUAAAUAAAAAAAAAAUAAAAUUGCUUCUACCAAAUUCACGUGACCACAUGCAUCUACCAAAAGGACAUUGAAAUCAUAAAUGGUUCUAAAAUAUAAUUCCUUAACCGUGAGAUCCUUGAACUCCAACUUCCAACACGUCAUUCCUCAAGACAAUUAAGAUAAAUGUCCUAACACAAAAAAAAAUAUGCUGCACCAUUUCUCAAAAGCAAUCAACUCCCAACAAAAGUAAAUUAAAUGCAUAUCUCCAUCACGUGAAAAGUGGCAGCACCCAUUGC